CCCGUUCGGGGUUAGUGGCGGACGGGUGAGUAACACGUGGGAACGUGCCCUUUGGUACGGAACAACUCAGGGAAACUUGAGCUAAUACCGUAUAAGCCCUACUGGGGAAAGAUUUAUCGCCAUUGGAGCGGCCCGCGUCUGAUUAGCUAGUUGGUGAGGUAAAGGCUCACCAAGGCUACGAUCAGUAGCUGGUCUGAGAGGAUGAUCAGCCACAUUGGGACUGAGACACGGCCCAA
rnacentral:rRNA from 1 species